GAUGAAGAACGUAGCGAAAUGCGAUAAGUAGUGUGAAUUGCAGAAUUCCGUGAAUCAUCGAAUCUUUGAACGCACAUUGCGCCUUCUGGUAUUCCGGAAGGCAUGCCUGUUCGAGAGUCAUUAACAACCGUUUCGAUCCCUUUCUUUCAGAAAUUACAAAGAGGAAAAGGGUUUGGUUAUGGUGGAGGAGGGAAAGGGAGCGUUUAGCCUGUAAAAAAAGAGGCUGGGUUCCGCCUCCCCCCCAAAAUUGUACAGGCGGUCGUGUGCGCCCACGCAUCGAGGUGUUGUAAAAGCUGCCACGGCACUUUUCACCUGUGCAGUGCGAGAUUGGCCAGCCGGUUUAAAAACCCCUCCAAACAAUCAAAGGUUGACCUCGGAUCAGGUAGGGAUACCCGCUGAACUUAAGCAUAUCAAUAAGCGGAGGA
rnacentral:misc_RNA from 1 species